rnacentral:rRNA from 1 species
AGGAUCAUUAUCGUACAACCGAGGUGCGAGGGCUGUCGCUGACCUUCGAAGGUCGUGCACGCCCGAGCGCUCUCACACAAUCCAUCUCACACCCCUUUGUGCAUCACCGCGAGGGUCCCAGUGGCUGUAACGGCCCCAAGGUGGGAAUGCGAGGCGAUGUUUUCCUCAACGGAGUCCCGUGCUCGUGCGCCGAGUUCAAGACUGUCCCCUCCAGAAAACUUUGGUGUCCAUCGUCCCCCACGGCGUAGGCCGUGGUCGGAUUUGGAGUAAUCGGCCCUUGUCUAGCCAGGGAAGCGAUUCCGCAGCUAGCAGGACUCACCGAGUUGGUCUUAGGAGAUCGGGGCACGUCAUCUGUCGCGCGGGUGCGCCGUGUCCCUCGUAGACCUUUAUACCUCGCGUUUUCACACAAACCUCUGAUACAGUGUAGAAUGUUAUUUUACCUUUUGCGGUCACACGCAAUCAAUACAACUUUCAACAACGGAUCUCUUGGCUCUCGCAUCGAUGAAGAACGCAGCGAAAUGCGAUACGUAAUGUGAAUUGCAGAAUUCAGUGAAUCAUCGAAUCUUUGAACGCACCUUGCGCCCCUUGGCAUUCCGAGGGGCACACCCGUUUGAGUGUCGUGAAAUCAUCAAAACCUUUUCCUUUGGGAAAAGGAUUUUGGACUUGGAGGUUCCAUGCUCGCUUUCAAAAGAAAGCGAGCUCCUCUCAAAUGAAUCAGUGGGGUCCGCUUUGCCGAUCCUUGACGUGAUAAGAUGCUUCUACGUUUUGGAUUUGGCACUGUCCCUUGGACGCCUGCUCCUAACCGUCCCGAUGGACAAUGAUGGUGCUCCGGUCGACCGCGGCUGGACCCACGAAAAGAAAACCUUGACCUCAAAUCGGGUGAGACUACCCGCUGAACUUAAGCAUAUCAAUAAGCGGAGGAAAAGAAACUAACAAGGAUUCCCCUAGUAACUGCGAGUGAAGCGGGAAAAGCUCAAAUUUAAAAUCUGGUGGUCUUUGGCCAUCCGAGUUGUAAUUUAGAGAAGCGUCUUCCGCGCUGGACCGUGCACAAGUCUCCUGGAAUGGAGCGUCGUAGAGGGUGAGAAUCCCGUCUUUGGCACGGACGCACCAGGGCUUUUGUGAUGCGCUCUCGAAGAGUCGAGUUGUUUGGGAAUGCAGCUCAAAAUGGGUGGUGAACUCCAUCUAAAGCUAAAUAUUGGCGAGAGACCGAUAGCGAACAAGUACCGUGAGGGAAAGAUGAAAAGCACUUUGGAAAGAGAGUGAAACAGUACGUGAAAUUGUUGAAAGGGAAACGCUUGAAGUCAGUCGCGUCGACCGAGACUCAGCCUUGCCUCGGCUCGGUGUAUUUCUCGGCCGACGGGUCAGCAUCAAUUUUACCCCUCGGAUAAUGGCGAGGGAAAUGUGACACCUUUACGGUGUGUUAUAGUCUCUCGUCGCAUGCGAGGGUUGGGAUUGAGGAACUCAGCACGCGCCCUCGGGCGUCGGGGUCUU